rnacentral:rRNA from 1 species
AGAGUUUGAUCCUGGCUGAGAACGAACGCUGGCGGCAGGCCUAACACAUGCAAGUCGAGCGCUACCUUCGGGUGGAGCGGCGGACGGGUUAGUAACGCGUGGGAAUAUACCCAGUUCUAAGGAAUAGCCACUGGAAACGGUGAGUAAUACCUUAUACGCCCUUCGGGGGAAAGAUUUAUCGGAAUUGGAUUAACCCGCGUUAGAUUAGAUAGUUGGUGGGGUAAUGGCCUACCAAGUCUACGAUCUAUAGCUGGUUUGAGAGGAUGAUCAGCAACACUGGGAGUGAGACACGGCCCAGACUCCUACGGGAGGCA